AAUGUAGACAUGCACCUUUCAAGAAGGCAACUUGGCUCAUGGAUAUGACAUGUAUCCGCGUAGCGGAUACCACUAAACAAGAGUCACGGAAAGCUGAGAUAGAAGAGCGAGACAGCGAUAAAAUGGGUUACUUGGAAAGAUAAUUGAUGGAAUUAAAGACGUUCGAUGGUAUUGGAGGCCUCUGCCCGGUAAUAUGGUCAUGGUCAUCCAGGCGAAUCACCCCAGGGCCUUAUUCUGUACCUGACUUAGCUUGACUCACACAGCUUCAGUGGUUCUCUAUUAAUGGGCAUACGUUUGAAGGAUAAAAAUUAUAAAGAUUUCUACGUACUAAAUGCGUUUUAAAUGACACGUAAGUAAAUUUACAAAUUGACAGCUUAAUCGUAUACGAGUGCUAUUAACAAUUAUGUAUUAGUUCUGUAAAAAAAAGACGAUAGAAAAAUAUAAAUGGAAAGAAGAAGAUAAGAAGAAGAAGAAG